rnacentral:rRNA from 1 species
ACAAUAAAUAUGAAUUAAUUUUUUUGGUUUAUUAAGUUAAAAUUUGUUUUUUGUUUAAAAUUUUUAUUUUUGGGUGAAAUUAAAAUAUUUAAUAAUCUUUUUAUGAUUCUUUGAAAUUUAAAAUUUAAACUAGGAUUAGAUACCCUAUUAUUUUGAAUGUUAAAUUUAACCAGGGUAGUAGUAGUUAUGAUCUUUAAACCUAAAGAAUUUGGCGGUGUUUUAGUCUAUUUAGAGGAAUUUGUCCCUUAAUCGAUAGUCCUCGUUUUAUCUUACUUUAUUUAGUUAUUUUCAGUUUGUAUACCGCCGUUAUAAGUUUAUUUUUUAAGAAUUUAAUUUACUGUAUAUUUUAUUAAAUUUUAUUUCAGGUCAAGGUGCAGCUUAUAGUAAAGUGGAGAUGAAUUACAAUAUUAUUUGAAUAAACGGAUUUGAGUUUUAAUAAUUUCAAUGAAGGUGGAUUUAAUAGUAAUUUUAAUAAUAAUAUUUAUUUGAUUUUAGUUCUAAAAUGAGUACAUAUCGCCC